rnacentral:tRNA from 1 species
GCCUGGGUGGCUCAGUCGGCUAAGUGUCUGACUUCGGCUCAGGGCAUGAUCUCGCAGUUCGUGAGUUCAAGCCCCACUUCGGGCU